rnacentral:rRNA from 1 species
GAUGUGAAAUCCCCGGGCUCAACCUGGGAACUGCAUCUGAUACUGGCAAGCUUGAGUCUCGUAGAGGGGGGUAGAAUUCCAGGUGUAGCGGUGAAAUGCGUAGAGAUCUGGAGGAAUACCGGUGGCGAAGGCGGCCCCCUGGACGAAGACUGACGCUCAGGUGCGAAAGCGUGGGGAGCAAACAGGAUUAGAUACC